rnacentral:rRNA from 1 species
AGAGUUUGAUCAUGGCUCAGAACGAACGCUGGCGGCGUGGAUAAGACAUGCAAGUCGAACGGGACUAUUUCUAGUAGCAAUACCGGGAAUAGUUUAGUGGCGAACGGGUGCUUAACACGUGGGCAACCUGCCAUGAAGUGGGGGAUAGCUCGCCGAAAGGCGAAUUAAUACCGCAUGUGAUUAGAGAGGACAUCCUUUCGAAAUUAAAGUCGGGGCAACCUGACGCUUCUUGUGGGGCCCGCGGCCUAUCAGCUAGUUGGUGAGGUAACGGCUCACCAAGGCUUUGACGGGUAGCUGGUCUGAGAGGACGACCAGCCACACUGGGACUGAGACACGGCCCAGACACCUACGGGUGGCAGCAGUCGAGAAUUUUUGACAAUGGGGGAAACCCUGAUCGAGCGACGCCGCGUGGAGGAUGAAGGUCUUCGGAUUGUAAACUCCUGUCAUUGGGGAACAAUGCACAGAUAUUAACUGUAUUUGUGUUGAUAGUACCCGAAGAGGAAGGGACGGCUAACUCUGUGCCAGCAGCCGCGGUAAUACAGAGGUCCCAAGCGUUGUUCGGAUUCAUUGGGCGUAAAGGGUGCGUAGGCGGCGCGGUAAGUCGGGUGUGAAAUCUCGGGGCUUAACUCCGAAACUGCAUUCGAUACUGCCGUGCUUGAGGACUGGAGAGGAGACUGGAAUUUACGGUGUAGCGGUGAAAUGCGUAGAUAUCGUAAGGAAGACCAGUGGCGAAGGCGGGUCUCUGGACAGUUCCUGACGCUGAGGCACGAAGGCCAGGGGAGCAAACGGGAUUAGAUACCCCCGUAGUCC